CUCACCCCGGGUGGGUCUCCGUUCCCACGUGGGCGAGCCUGGGCUUCCAAGGCAGUGCCCGCUGCGUCUCGGAGGGACAGGAGUCUCGGGCGGGUGUGUCACUCCGAUUUCCUGCCGGCAGUGGAGGUGGGGAAGGAGGAGAAGGAGGAGGUGCUACUCGGCAGAAGGCAUGGAGGAGAAGUGGUUCCAAGCAGCAGAAAUCUCCCAAUUAGGGGACAAGAUGCUCUGGGGAUCAAGCAGAGUUAGACCCAAGAAAUGGAGAAACUGAAGCCCAGAGAAAUGGAGUGACUGAUUCAAUUAGGUCAAGUAGGUGGUGCUGCUAACUCCUGUACUGCUCAGAACAUAUAUGAAACAAUUAUGUUCAGAACUUGGUGCCAUAUUUUAGGAAGAACAUUGAAAAGCUGGUGAGCUUCAGAGUUAGACCAACCAGCAUAAUGAAGUGCCUCAUGUUCAGGCAUAUCCUCUCCCUUUCCCAUCCCCUCUCCUUUAAUAGAAUAUAAUAAGCUUAACAACAGAGAAUAUUUCAUAUUUGUCUUUGUAUUAUCAGGGUCUUGCAUUGUGCCUAACAAGCAUUUAAUAAAUGCUAAGUAAAUGAAGAGUGAAUAAUUAGUUGAAAACUGAGAUAUAUAACUUGGAGAAGAUACAGGAGGGACAUUAUUUAUAUCUCUAAAUAUUUAGAGGGCUGUUGCUUAGAAGAUGAACUAGAUAUAUUUAGUUUGGCCUCAUAAAGCAGAAAUAAGAAUGAAUAAGUAAACAUUGUAGAUAGGAAAAUUUAAGUUUGAUGUGAAAAAAAUCUCCCUAACCAUUAGAACUAUUCAGUUAGGUAGUAUAGUGGAUAGAGCACCAGUAUUGGAGACAGGACAUCUUGAAUUCAGUUUGAAUGUGACCCUGGGCAAGUUAUUUAAU